AGUCCGACAAAAUUACUACAGAAUUUCGUUAGUUUGCUAUUGCGCCGGGGAUGUUAUUCUGCAGGAAGCAUGGCGUACAGCGUGAAAAUAGGUCGACAUUUAUUCAGCCCCUGAACGAGGAAAAAAAUUUAGCAUUCAAAUUAAAAAAUAAUUAACCUCCAUGUUGUUUUUCGCUUUUUUAAGUUCAAUGCAUAAUAAAGGGACAACACAAUUAGCAUUUCAUCGGAUAUUGUAAUUUGUACAUCAACCACCGCAGCAUCAUCAUAUCCUCGCACAGAUUACGGAUAUUAAUUAAAAUAUGAUGUGAUAAAAGCCAAACAUGUUUAUAACAGUGUAUCCUGCGUUUUUAUACUGUGGCAUUGCGCUCUUGGUAACUUGCGACAAUAAACGUGCAAUCAUUCGGAAAGAGAUUCAUAUAAAAGAUAUUUACUGUAUGCAAAUUGGCUUAAUUAUCCCUAAAAUAAAAUAUUGGAUAAUUU